rnacentral:lncRNA from 1 species
AUGUAACCCCGGGACUUCUGGAAGUGUGCAGUGAACAGAAAGUGUUUUCACUAACAGUAGUGCAGACCAUAGAAUACUACAAGUAAUCAGGUAGAAUUGAUGGGUCCUGCAAUGGAGGAAGCCACCAACUUUGUCCAUAGCUGUUCAGGAGGAAAAAAUUGUGUGCAUAGGAACAUUUGUAAAAAUUUGUUCUUCAGGUUUCAGUCCAGAGAACAUGAUGAACUUCAAAAUGGUCAUUCACAGGGAUUCACCUGGUGCCCAGGUAAGUGCUGAUGUGAGCCUAAACCACAGUACAGGCCAUCUGAUCUUAGGCCAUCUGAUCUUCGUGUAUAUAGGUAAUGAUGGUGUCACAUUUUUUUGACUAUGUGUUUAUCGCAACUAUUCAGCUAAGCAUGAGAUAGCCCUUAACAAUAUGAGGAACCAUGAAUUUUCACUUUUUUAUUCUGUCGAGAAUGUAUGCUCAACCCUUUUAGUGAUGAAGAACUGCACAUGUCUAGAUAACUAUCGUGGUGCUCCUCCUCCACUAGUAGCCAUGGGAAUUUUGAGAGUAUAGUCAGGAAAUGAUGUUUUUAUCUGGCAACAGCACUUCCUUGGAGUACUUCAGAUAUUCAGAUGCCUAUCCAGAGAUCACAAAGGACCUAAAUAUGUUUGUUAACAGGAGACGUUGCUGGUGUCCAGAUAUGUCUUCAAGAGAUGAAGGAGUUUCUUACCUUGGUUUGAACUUGGAAUUCAGCAGGCAUCCAGAUCCAAGUCAAGACAUCAUAGUGAGUCUGCGAAAGGUAAUCAGGGAGUCUGUGAAAGAUGGGAUGUUGCCAGUAUCAAGGCAAGAGAUGGUGUGGGACAAAAGCACAGCACAGCACAGCCCAUCUGAUCAUCAUGUGCAUAGGUUCCUGUGA